AUGAACGCUGGCGGCGUGCCUAAUACAUGCAAGUCGAGCGAACGGACGAGAAGCUUGCUUCUAUGAUGUUAGCGGUGGACGGGUGCGUAACACGUGGAUAACCUACCUAUACGACUGGGAUAACUUCGGGAACCCGGAGCUAAUACCGAACAAUCUUUUGAACCGCAUGGUUCAAUAGCGAAAGACGUUCUUGCUGUCACUUAUAGAUGGAUUCGCGCUGCAUUAGCUAGAUAGUAAGGUAACGGCUUACCAAGUCAACGAUGCAUAGCCGACCUGAGAGGGUGAUCGGCCACACUGGAACUGAGACACGGUCCAGACGCCUACGAAGGGCAGCAGUAGGGAGUCUUCCGCAAUAGGCGAAAACCUAACGAAGCAACGCCGCGUGAGUGAUGAAGAUCUUCGGAUCUUAAAACUCUGUUAUUAGGGAAGAACAUAUGUGUAAGUAACUGUGCACAUCUUGACGGUACCUAAUCAGAAAGCCACGGCUAGCUACGAG
rnacentral:rRNA from 1 species